rnacentral:pre_miRNA from 1 species
AAGAUACUCCCUCCGUCCGAAAAUACUUGUCAUCAAAAUGAAUAUAAAAAGAAUGUAUCUAGAACUAAUAUACAUCUAGAUACAUCCCCUUCUAGUCAUUUUGAUGACAAGUAUUUUCAGACGGAGGGAGUAUUAC